GCCUAACACAUGCAAGUCGAGCGGUAACAGAUCCAGCUUGCUGGAUGCUGACGAGCGGCGGACGGGUGAGUAAUGCAUAGGAAUCUGCCCGGUAGUGGGGGAUAACCUGGGGAAACCCAGGCUAAUACCGCAUACGUCCUACGGGAGAAAGGGGGCUUCGGCUCCCGCUAUCGGAUGAGCCUAUGUCGGAUUAGCUAGUUGGUGAGGUAACGGCUCACCAAGGCUACGAUCCGUAGCUGGUCUGAGAGGAUGAUCAGCCACAUCGGGACUGAGACACGGCCCGAACUCCUACGGGAGGCAGCAGUGGGGAAUAUUGGACAAUGGGGGGAACCCUGAUCCAGCCAUGCCGCGUGUGUGAAGAAGGCCCUCGGGUUGUAAAGCACUUUCAGCGAGGAAGAACGCCUAGCGGUUAAUACCCGCUAGGAAAGACAUCACUCGCAGAAGAAGCACCGGCUAACUCCGUGCCAGCAGCCGCGGUAAUACGGAGGGUGCAAGCGUUAAUCGGAAUUACUGGGCGUAAANCGCGCGUAAGUGGCUUUGAUAAACCCGGUGUGAAAACCCCCGGNUCAACCUGGGAACGGCAUCCNGAAAUGUUCAACUNUNAUUGCAGGAAAAGAAAGUANAAAUUCCCCGGGGUANCGNNGAAAUNCGUAAAAAAUCGNNNGGGAAUACCACGGGGNGGAAAGAGGGCCUUCUUUGGNUGGACNCUGGNNACUUGAGGGGGNNGAAAAACCNGGGGUUUNCCAAAAAAGGAANUNUUUACCCUCG
rnacentral:rRNA from 1 species